GUUUGGAAUAACACGGGGAAACUUGUGCUAUUACCGAAUAAGCCCUUACGGGGAAAGUUUUAUUGCCGAAAGAUGAGCCCGCACUUGAUUAGCUAGUUGGUAAGGAAAAAGCUUACCAAGGCAACGAUCAAUAGCUGUUCUUAGAGGAAGACCAGCCACAUUGGGACUGAGACACGGCCCAGACUCCUACGGGAGGCAGCAGUGGGGAAUCUUGCACAAUGGGGGAAACCCUGAUGCAACGAUGCCGCGUGAGUGAAGAAGGCCUUUGGGUUGUAAAACUCUUUCGUCGGGGAAGAAAAUGACUGUACCCGAAUAAGA
rnacentral:rRNA from 1 species